AUGACCACAUUAAAGGGCGCACGGAGGAUGCCUUGACACGAAUAGGCGAUGAAGGACGUUGCGUGACUGCGAAAAGCUUCGGUGAGCCGUCGAGCAGGCUAUGACCCGGAGAUGUCCGAAUGGGGAAACCCAAUCAUGUGAACCAUGAUUAUCUCGCGCAAGCGAGGAGCAUACUUGGGGAAGUGAAACAUCUCAGUACCCAAAGGAAAAUAAAUAGAAUUAGAUACCGUGAGUAGCGGCGAGCGAAAUCGGCACAGCCUAAACCGUGUACUCCGUACACAAGCUGAAAGUAAAAAGUUCAUCAAGUUCAUAAAGUAGAAUUCAAAAAACUUUAUAACUUUACAAACUUUAUAAACUUACAACUUGCGUUCGGGGUGUGCGGGGUAAUAGGGAUAGUACAUUUGAAAUUUUAACUUUGUGCAAAACACAUCGUGUGCAAAGUUAAAACUUCAUAAGAAGUUAAAAAUUCGUGCGGUAGGAGAACGGCCUUGGAACAGCCGACCAUAGCGGGUGACAGUCCCGUAUCCGAAACCAAACGAACUUCUGUAUUAUUACCUGAGUAGCCCAGGAUAAGAAUGUCCGGGGUGAAUUUGUCCAUACUACUGGAUAAGGCUAAAUACUAUUCGUGAUCGAUAGUGAACCAGUACCGUGAGGGAAAGGCGAAAAGAACCCCGGCGAGGGGAGUGAAAUAGAAACUGAAACCGUGUGCCUACAAAGAGCCGGAGCCUGCCGUCGCAAGACGUCGGGUAACGGUGUGCCUAUUGAAGAAUGACCCGACGAGUUUACUUACACCGCACUAUAAGUUCCACUGGGACGUAUGGACAGGGAAACCGAGUGUUAAUAGCGCGUUUAAGAACUUUCACCUAUUGGCUUUACGGCCGAUGGGUGAAAUGUCUUUAUGCGGUAUAGGUAAGACCCGAAGCCAGGCGAGCUAACCAUGAGCAGGGUGAAGCUUGUCGAAAGACAAGUGGAGGCCCGAACCGUUUGAUCGCUCAAUGUCAUCGGAUGACUUGUGGUUAGAAGUGAAAAGCUUAUCGAGCUUGGUAAUAGCUGGUUCUCCCCGAAAUGUCUUUAGGGACAGCGGUAUGGAGUAAUGAAGGGGGUAGAGCACUGAUUGAUUAGCCGCGCCUUCACCGGUAGGCCU
rnacentral:ncRNA from 1 species